AUUUAGCGGGAAGAUUUUUCCGCUAAAUUUAGCGGGGAAAAUUUUCCGCUAGAUUUAAUUUUCCCCGCUAAAUUUAGCGGGAAAUUUUCCCCGCUAAAU
rnacentral:pre_miRNA from 1 species